rnacentral:rRNA from 1 species
AUUGAACGCUGCCUGCAUGCUUUACACAUGCAAGUCGAACGGUAACAGGGAGCUUGCUCCGCUGACGAGUGGCGAACGGGUGAGUAAUAUAUCGGAACGUACCCAAGAGUGGGGGAUAACGUAGCGAAAGUUACGCUAAUACCGCAUACGAUCUAUGGAUGAAAGCAGGGGACCUUCGGGCCUUGUGCUCCUGGAGCGGCCGAUAUCUGAUUAGCUAGUUGGUGAGGUAAAGGCUCACCAAGGCGACGAUCAGUAGCUGGUCUGAGAGGACGACCAGCCACACUGGAACUGAGACACGGUCCAGACUCCUACGGGAGGCGGCAGUGGGGAAUUUUGGACAAUGGGCGCAAGCCUGAUCCAGCAAUGCCGCGUGAGUGAAGAAGGCCUUCGGGUUGUAAAGCUCUUUUGUCAGGGAAGAAACGGCUGUGGCUAAUAUCCACGGCUAAUGACGGUACCUGAAGAAUAAGCACCGGCUAACUACGUGCCAGCAGCCGCGGUAAUACGUAGGGUGCAAGCGUUAAUCGGAAUUACUGGGCGUAAAGCGUGCGCAGGCGGUUUUGUAAGUCUGUCGUGAAAUCCCCGGGCUCAACCUGGGAAUUGCGAUGGAGACUGCAAGGCUAGAAUCUGGCAGAGGGGGGUAGAAUUCCACGUGUAGCAGUGAAAUGCGUAGAGAUGUGGAGGAACACCGAUGGCGAAGGCAGCCCCCUGGGUCAAGAUUGACGCUCAUGCACGAAAGCGUGGGGAGCAAACAGGAUUAGAUACCCUGGUAGUCCACGCCCUAAACGAUGUCUACUAGUUGUCGGGUUUUAAUUAACUUGGUAACGCAGCUAACGCGUGAAGUAGACCGCCUGGGGAGUACGGUCGCAAGAUUAAAACUCAAAGGAAUUGACGGGGACCCGCACAAGCGGUGGAUGAUGUGGAUUAAUUCGAUGCAACGCGAAAAACCUUACCUACCCUUGACAUGUCAGGAAGACCGGAGAGAUCUGGUUGUGCCCGAAAGGGAACCUGAACACAGGUGCUGCAUGGCUGUCGUCAGCUCGUGUCGUGAGAUGUUGGGUUAAGUCCCGCAACGAGCGCAACCCUUGUCAUUAGUUGCUACGCAAGAGCACUCUAAUGAGACUGCCGGUGACAAACCGGAGGAAGGUGGGGAUGACGUCAAGUCCUCAUGGCCCUUAUGGGUAGGGCUUCACACGUCAUACAAUGGUACAUACAGAGGGCCGCCAACCCGCGAGGGGGAGCUAAUCCCAGAAAGUGUAUCGUAGUCCGGAUCGUAGUCUGCAACUCGACUACGUGAAGUUGGAAUCGCUAGUAAUCGCGGAUCAGCAUGCCGCGGUGAACACGUUCCCGAGUCU